rnacentral:rRNA from 1 species
CAGCCGCCGCGGGAAUACGAAGGGUGCAAGCGUUACUCGGAAUUACUGGGCGUAAAGCGUGCGUAGGUGUGGUUUAAGUCCGUUGUGAAAGCCCUGGGCUCAACCUGGGAAUUGCAGUGGAUACUGGGUCACUAGAGUGUGGUAGAGGAUAGUGGAAUUUCCGGUGUAGCAGUGAAAUGCGUAGAGAUCGGAAGGAACAUCUGUGGCGAAGGCGACUAUCUGGGCCAACACUGACACUGAGGCACGAAAGCGUGGGGAGCAAACAGGAUUAGAUACCCCCGUAGUCCCUGUCUCUUAUACA